rnacentral:rRNA from 1 species
CACGUAGGGCGCAAGCGUUGUCCGGAAUUACUGGGCGUAAAGAGCUCGUAGGCGGUUUGUCGCGUUGUCCGUGAAAACUCACAGCUUAACUGUGGGCGUGCGGGCGAUACGGUCAGACUGGAGUACUGCAGGGGAGACUGGAAUUCCUGGUGUAGCGGUGGAAUGCGCAGAUAUCAGGAGGAACACCGGUGGCGAAGGCGGGUCUCUGGGCAGUAACUGACGCUGAGGAGCGAAAGCGUGGGGAGCGAACAGG